rnacentral:rRNA from 1 species
GACGAACGCUGGCGGCGUGCUUAACACAUGCAAGUCGAACGGAAAGGCCCCCUUGUGGGGUACUCGAGUGGCGAACGGGUGAGUAACACGUGAGUAACCUACCCUUGACUUUGGGAUAACUUCAGGAAACUGGGGCUAAUACCGGAUAGGAGCUCCUGCUGCAUGGUGGGGGUCGGAAAGUUUCGGCGGUUGGGGAUGGACUCGCGGCUUAUCAGCUUGUUGGUGGGGUAGUUGCUCACCAAGGCUUUGACGGGUAGCCGGCCUGAGAGGGUGACCGGCCACAUUGGGACUGAGAUACGGCCCAGACUCCUACGGGAGGCAGCAGUGGGGAAUAUGGCACAAUGGGCGGAAGCCUGAUGCAGCAACGCCGCGUUCGGGAUGACGGCCUUCGGGUUGUAAACCGCUUUCGCCUGUGACGAAGCGUGAGUGACGGUAAUGGGUAAAGAAGCACCGGCUAACUACGUG